UCACGUUGAAACACCGGUUCCCGUCCGAUCACCGAAGUUAAGCAACGUCGAGCUUGGUCAGUACCUAGAUGGGUGACCGUUUGGAAAUAUC